rnacentral:rRNA from 1 species
UACGUAGGGCAGCACGUUGUCGUGAAUUACUGGGCGUAAAGAGUGUGUAGGCGGUGUUCUAAGUCUGGUGUGAAAUCUCCCGGCUCAACUGGGAGGGUGCGCUAGAAACUGGAAUGCUAGAGGAUGGGAGAGGUAAGCGGAAUUCCUGGUGUAGCGGUGAAAUGCGUAGAUAUCAGGAGGAACACCUGUGGUGUAGACAGCUUACUGGACCAUUCUGACGCUGAGACACGAAAGCGUGGGUAGCAAACAGG